UACGUAGGGGGCUAGCGUUGUCCGGAUUUAUUGGGCGUAAAGAGCGUGUAGGCGGCCAAACAGGUCCGUUGUGAAAACUGGAGGCUCAACCUCCAGACGUCGAUGGAACCGUCUGGCUAGAGUCCGGAAGAGGAGAGUGGAAGUUCCUGGUGUAGCGGUGAAAUGCGCAGAUAUCAGGAAGAACACCCGUGGCGAAAGCGGCUCUCUGGGACGGUACUGACGCUGAGACGCGAAAGCGUGGGGAGCGAACAGG
rnacentral:rRNA from 1 species